rnacentral:lncRNA from 1 species
GCCCAGGUACAGCCCGCGGGGCCUGGCGCGGACGCCCUCGGGUCCGGACGACUGCUCGUGGUGCGGCAAGAGCCUCAGGGAGCGGGCCGGCUUCCUCGCUCAAGUUCCGGGAGCCCUUUCAGGAAACCAAGCGGUGAAGACUUCUGCUCCUCCGCAGGACCCUGCACACUGGACGUUUCCGUCGGAAGGCGGGGGUUUCUAAGGCGGAGCGUUCUCAGCCGCGCGCGGCCCGAAGAGGUCCUUAAGGAGCCCAGGGUCAACCUGCUGGAAUCGCGGUUUAUGGAGGCUUUUAUUUAUUUUUUUUAAAGAUUUUAUUUAUUCACGAGACACACACAUAGAGAAAGAGACCCAGGCAGAGGGCGAAGCAGGCUCCGUGCAGGGAGCCCGACGCGGGACUCGAUCCCGGGGCUCCAGGACGGCGCUGAACCGCCGAGCCGCCGGGGCUGCCCGUUUAUGGAGGCUUUUACAAAAAUCACAAAAAUAAGCGCUUUUAUGUUGUCAGGCAGAUUUUACAUACAGACAGAUCAUCAAAUUCCCGUACGGUGGAGACAUCUAUUUUUACUAAAUCAUUCCAGUUCGCCCUCCCCGCCACAGCCGUGACAAGGAAUUUGCUGCGAUUGCUGCCGCAUUGGCUCCGGAAACCCGGCGGCGUGGACGUGGGUUCGAGCCCGAGGGAGACGGAGCGUCGUUAACUCGUCACCCCGUGUGCGGCUCCCGGCGGCGGAGGAGGCGCAGCCGCGGCUCGGGAGCCCUGGAGGAGUCACGUGGCCGCGGACACGCCUCUGGAGUCGUCGCCGCCUGCCGCGGCCCGGGCGGAGCGGCCUUGGCGGAGGCGGACUAACUAACUAAACGGGCCCCGGCCAGGCCGCAAUUGUCAAGUGGGUUUUCAUUGUUUAAAAAAAAAAAAAAAGAUUUUAAAAAGCUUGAGAGGGGUGGGGAGCGGGAUAGAGCGUGUGACUCGUGACCUCAGGGUGGUGAGUUCCAGCCCCACCUAGGGAGCAGAGCCUACUUUAUUCAUUUUUAAAGAUUUUAUUUAAAAAAAAUAAAGAUUUUAUUUAUUCAUGAGAAACA